CCUUGGCAAGAUAAAGGCAACACCUGACUGAUAUAUUGGCUUCCCACUGAGGUGUUGCAUUUAAGAAAAAAAGGUUCAUGCAUUUGCCUCAGUCAGUAUUGCUGUAAACCUAAACCUCACGGAAGGCUAUUAUAGCAUCGGGAACAGAUGGUGAAGAUUUCCAUAAAACAGAAAGGGAAACAGACUUGUCUGAAGUGAGGUCACUAUUCUCUUUCAUGAGGACUCUACUCUCGUGACCUAAUCACCUCCCAAAGGCCCUGCCUCCCAAUUCCAUCAGGCUGCGUGGAUGAACACUGCUUCCAGGACUCACAUAAUUGCACCUAAAGUCAUAGAAUGUUACAGCUGGAGGAACGCUGAGAGUUUGCCCAAGAUCCUUCCCCAGCAUUUACAGGUGAGGCGUUUGGAGCUCCAGAGAGAUUAAGAUUUCUGGAGGUCACUGAGUUAGUGUCUGGCAGGAUCCGCACUGGACCCUCGGUCUCCCGAAUCCCAGAGCAGAAGGCAUUCCACCACACCUUGACGUUUUCCAGCACGGGCAAGGGCAGCGCCCUGGACAGGGCACUGUUUCCUACAGUUCGACCUCAGCCCUGGGCUGUAUAUAGCCAGAGGACCUGAAGAAAUUUCUCUUCCCAGAGCUCACUGGUAUUUCUGAGCAUUACUUUAAUGAGAAGGUAUUUUUAGCUCUUAUUCUGCCAGAAGCAUUCUUCUUGCUCAUUUUCAGAGCUGCUGGGUUCAAGCUUGGAGGCCAGAAUAACUUAGGUUAUUUUUUUUUAAUUAAAAAAUUCAAUUCGAUAAUCCUUUAGCAAAUGCUUUUAAAUGCAUAAGGCAUCGAACUGAGUGCUUUGUGGAUAGAGACGUGAAUAAAAAGGAUCUCUGUUUCCAAGUAGCUUACAAGCUAUGGCGGAAUGGAGAGCCACAGGCUUCAUCAAGGAAGGUGAUGGUAGGGACAUGUUACAAAUGACAACAAGUGGGGCACCUGGGUUGGCUCAGCCGAUUAAGCAUCCGACUUCGGCUCGGGUCAUGAUCUCACAGUUCGUGGGUUCGAGCCCCAUGUUUGGCUCUGUGCUGACAGCUUGGAGCCUGCAGCCUGCUUUGGAUUCUGUGUCUCCCUCUCUCUCUCUCUCUCUCUCUGCCCCUUCC